GUCACAGGACAGAUUUAUUCUCCUUUCUUUUCUUGCCUAUAUUUUCUGUUAUUGAUUUCCCCAUUUGUUUAUUCGGUGUGACAUUGUUUACUAACUUAAUUACGCCUCAAAACCUCAAUUCCAACCACUUUCUUGAGACAUCCGCAUUGAUACUGCUAAAAAGGUCUUACAUCAUCACAGCGAUGAAGCAAAAAGUGAUAUAUAUCGAGACUUCAAAGCUUCUAUUAUCUUACUUGACUCAGUAUAAGAAUUACAUUGCAAAACUUUCUGAUUUUGGCUUGGCAAAAGGAUGGCCCGACAGGUCAUUACAAAGGUAAUGGUCACAUAUUGCUAUGCUGCUCCGGAAUAUAUAUGACCACAGGUGAUCAUCAUCAUGGGGAUGUUGGUGAUGAGGCUUAA